rnacentral:lncRNA from 1 species
AAACAUAACAUUAAGAUACAAUUACUCAAUUUAAUACAAAGUAGAAAACAUAGCAAAACAAUCCCAACCCUGGUGUUACAAUAUCAUGGCUAUUAUUACAAAAUAAACUAAUAGCCGACUUAAGGUCCUAAGAAACAUAAAAUCAAAGAAAACAGUCGAAGUGGUCAUCUAUACAAUAUUCCAUAACAACCAACAACAAUAACUCCUUAGUCUCAACCUAGGAACCAUCUGCACAGGGGUUUACAUAGAGAAACAUAAAAACAAAAGGGGUGAGAAUACAUUCUAUUAAAUUAUAUGGUAUAAUAAUAAUAAGGAUAUCAUUUAACAACAAGUAUAUCAUUCACAAUCAAUCACAUCCACACAAUACCAUAAGACAUAUACAAGAAAAAAUAUGCAAUGCUCAUCUCCUUUACUCUCAUGCAUGUGGUACCAUAACCGAAUUCAGAUUUAUUUUACCGAAAUCCUGAAACACCGGACCGAAGUCCUAAAACACCGUACAUAAGUCAUAACACAGGACCGAAGUCCUAACCAAACCCCAAAAUAUAUGAUGCAUUAUGCUUCAAACAAAGGUAAUCUUCCAUCUGAAUCUCCAAACACAGAUUUAACACUAUCGUUUAUAGAUAACACCGAUUCUUGAGAACCUAAUAACACCACAAAUUUGACUAAAACACUUUGAACCUAAACAUAAUAACCAUUGGUUCUUAUCGAACAUCUAUGUACUAAUAAGAUAAUUCACAUUACAUCAUUAUAUCACAUCAACACCGGACUUCCGUCCUAACAUGAACAACUUAACUCGUAUACGUAUUAUCAAGACAUUGGAGUAAAGUCCUAAACAUUGACAACUUGAUUGGCAUAACCCUUUAUCAAGAUAAUAACUCAUAUCUUACAUCAUUCACAAUUUAGGAUAUACAUGUAUUCAUCGAAACAUUAUGCUUACGUCUCCAAUAUUACGUCCCUUAUACAAUUAAUAUUUGUCCACAUCAUUCACACAUUUAAAACCUCACGAGAAAUUACCAUAAUAUAGCUUUAUUUUUUAUCUUUCUAACGCUUCAAACCACGCCUCAGUCGAAGUCACAAAACUAAAGUUAUGUUAUUUCUAAAUUCUGCAUUUUCUUACACAAUAAGUCAUAACCGGUUACCACUAGCUUAUAACCGGUUACAAACACGAAAAACAGCCUAAAAACUCAUUUUUCUCAUGGGUAACUAGUUACCAACUGCUAGUAACCGAUUACCAUUAUGUCCAGACUCCAAUUAAACUUGUUUUUCACUGGAAUUUCACUCCUAAACUCAAUUUCUUCAACCUAAAGUUAUCCCAAUUCAAUUUUAAAUAUAUAUUAUUAUAGUUAAACAACUUAUAUCAUUGCUUCAACAUCAAUUUCUUCAAUUACCAUUAUCAUCAAUAACCAACGUUAUGAUAACAUCAAUUAGCAAUACCAUAAUAUCAUCAAUAUAACCUCAACACAACAUCAACAUAUAAGGAUUACAAAAAUUUACGGUAUCAAUCAUGACAAAGAUUAAAUCAAAAGCAUCACGUAUAGUUCUCACAAACAUGGAAAUUUUUUAUUAAAAUUUUAGAAUCUCAUAUUCAUCAUUAGUCAACAUAAACCCCUUAUCCUAUUGCCAAAACAACGAUAAUAAAAUACUCUCCCCUACCUUGUUAUUGCAUAAAUUCUUUCAUGAAUCUC